rnacentral:lncRNA from 1 species
AAAAAUCAAAAGGCAAGAAUAACAAAACAACAAGAACAGACUGUGGGAUACGGGUUUUAGAACUUCAAAAUCCCCAAAGGGAUUCCAAAUCCCUAAUUCCUCUCCUUUCUUCUUGCGACUUCCACGAACGAUGGUCCAGGUUACUAGUGUCGAUCUCAUCUGUUCUUCCGGUGACCAUGGCAGCGAGAGACGGCAACUAUGGCAAGGCGCGGUGAUGACAAGGGUGGCGCUUCGGUGGGUCACGUCCAGAUAGUGGUUCCAGAUUCGGGCUCUUACUCUCGACGGUGGUUCCCACCUAUCAUCGCGGUGGCUCUACAAAAAGAGGUAACCAUGGCCUUCGUUCUUGUUUCCAUUAUCUUCCUUCCUUAUCUUCUUUCGUCCUCCUUUACAGAUGGGUGUCGUUUCCGGCGAGCCCGAGGAAACUCUUUCCUUGCGUUGACAGCCCCUAAGGUUGUGAGGGAACUUGCCCCUUUCACGGCAUUGGGGCCAUUCGACCCCGGGUUUCACUAAGGUUACCUAAGGUUAAGAAACUUAAUCCCCCUUUAGCGUCAGGACGGGUUCAGUGGCUCAACGAUUUCCAUUUCUAUCUUGUUUUAAGGUUACAGCAAUGCACUAUUAGCUUUCAUUUUUUAUUAAGUUGAUAUAUAUUUCUGUUGAGACUGGUCUAUAUUUUAGCAUGAUCACUUAAAAAAAAACAUUUACGAACUAAGCAUAUAAAUCUAGUACAUAAACCAUAUAAAGCAGAAUAUGUUUAUUGAAGAUGCGUAUUUGAUUUGGGGCUCAGGGCACACAUAAAAUGUUGUUUUUUAUGGUUUUAAUGCUUACCUGAGUGUAUGUCCUUCUGAGUGUUGAUUCUUUAUCUAUCGAUGUUCUGCUUCGGUGUUGUACUUUCUGCCCUUGUUUAGCACUGUUAUAAUGUCCUCUGUUUUUUACGGUUGAAAUGCUCUCUGCGUUUACUGAGUGUAUGUGUGUCGCUUUACGCUGCUCGUGAAAUGUGAGCCUAUUUUUAGUUUGAUUUUUGUUGGAUGUAUGGAAGUAGUGCUCUGAUUAUAGUUGUGUAUAAUGUAUGACUUUUCUCUCUGUUCUCUGAACGUAUGUGUCUUUUGCUUUAUCUCUGGAAUGCUCUCUCUGAUUUUUCUUCUCUCUAUUGAUAGUUGUACGCCCUUUGUAGCUGUGUGUUUAUGUUGUACUGCCCUUUUGUUUUCUGGUUAUCCAUUCUGAAACUGCUCAAUAAUUAUUUCCAUUCAUGCUGAUUAUGAUUAUAUGUAACUGCUGAGAUAUUUCUGAAUUCUCACCUAAGAGAUAGGAACAUAUACCCUGACUCUUGCUCUUUUCUGAUUAUUCCUUUCAGUUUUGAAUAAUGCUCAAUGAUUACUAAUAAUCAUUUUACCACUAAUUACUCCAUUUAAAUUGAUUGCUGCCUAAUCCUGCUGUUUUGGAAUCCUUUUCUGAAUAUUUGCCAUUUAUGCCUACUGGAAUACAUAACUGAAAAAGGAAUAUGCCAACUGGUGAUGACUUCUGGUUUGCAUUUUUGAAAUUCUUAUAUUGUCCCAGUUAUUGCUGAUUUAUGUGCAUACGUAACUGUUGGAGAAGAUUUUUAUUUGCCAAUGAUGACCAUAAUUGGAGUAGAAUGGUAACUGGCCUUUAUCAUGUAACUCAUGGCUGAUUAGCGUGAUUGCUUUGGAAUAAUUAUUAUUUACUUAAGUGUAUGUGUAUGAUUUGCAUGUGUUACUAAAACCAUCUCUUCAAGUUUCUCUGUUGCGUUAUCUGUUCUGUUAUAAUUUCGUCUCUUGCAAAUGUAUGUAAAUUUGUGUUGUGUUGCAUUCUGCUUGUUCCAUAAAUUUCAUUGCCUUUUCCUCAAAUGUAACAUGUAUAAUCAAUUUUGUGUUAUUGGUGUUGGUCUUCUGCAUUUUGUUGGUGCGUUGCUCCAUGUGGUAUCCAUUAUGCAUAUAAUCGCUACAGGCCCUUAUCAUCAAUAUCAAAUCAACCUACUCCAUCACAGCAAGGAAAUUAGAUUUAGAUGCUGCAUUUUCUUGGCAAUUCUAACCCAUUCUCCAAUUUUGGAUCUUUUUGUUUCAUAUUUCUAGAUUUGUUUGGUCUGGUAAGAUAUGGUGGGGUAGUGGUGGAUGACUUGUGGAUUGUUGAGAUUUUUUUGGGUGAUUUUGAGUGAUACGAUGUUUGAGGUUUUGAAUGGCCAAUGCUAUUAACAAUGGUUGUUGCACACCAUUUUGCUUUAACCCAGUUAAGGAUGAUUGAAUUAUUUGGUUUAAUCAUGUUUUGAUUGUUUUAGCUUUCUGGGUGAAACUAAAAGCAAAUAUAUAUUUCCUUUGAUUUGCAGUGAUCUUUGCAUCGUGGCAUCCCAGGUCCAGGUGUAUACCCACGAAGAGGUGAAGAAUGCCACACUUGGGACGAUAAUUGAUGAUGCCAAUAGCUGUUUAGAUCAGGCACCGGUGAUCACGGAGGCAUCUAAGUCUUCCUUAGCAAUAUAUUUUUGUUAUAAUCUCAUUGUAUCCUAUUUCGUUCUUCCAUUUUUGAUUUCUUCUUGAUGCUCAUGUAAUAUUGUUUGUAUUAGGGGCGAAACCAGUGCCCGGUUCAUGUAAUUUCCAUAUUGAUUAUGAUAAUAUUUGUAACAUCAACGACAAAAAAUGCCCUCAAGAAUAACUUUGUUUUCACAAAUAAUUAGAAAUAACCCGAAAGACG